rnacentral:rRNA from 1 species
UUAAGCGACUAAGCGUACACGGUGGAUGCCCUGGCAGUCAGAGGCGAUGAAGGACGUGCUAAUCUGCGAUAAGCGCCGGUAAGGUGAUAUGAACCGUUAUAACCGGCGAUUUCCGAAUGGGGAAACCCAGUGUGACUCGUCACACUAUCAUUAACUGAAUCCAUAGGUUAAUGAGGCGAACCGGGGGAACUGAAACAUCUAAGUACCCCGAGGAAAAGAAAUCAACCGAGAUUCCCCCAGUAGCGGCGAGCGAACGGGGAGGAGCCCAGAGCCUGAAUCAGCAUGUGUGUUAGUGGAAGCGUCUGGAAAGGCGCGCGAUACAGGGUGACAGCCCCGUACACAAAAGCGCAUGUGCUGUGAGCUCGAUGAGUAGGGCGGGACACGUGGUAUCCUGUCUGAAUAUGGGGGGACCAUCCUCCAAGGCUAAAUACUCCUGACUGACCGAUAGUGAACCAGUACCGUGAGGGAAAGGCGAAAAGAACCCCGGCGAGGGGAGUGAAAAAGAACCUGAAACCGUGUACGUACAAGCAGUGGGAGCCCCACCACUAAGCCAGUGGUGAACUCCACAUACGCAUCCUUUGCUGAGGAUACGGUUAACGGAGCGAAAGCGACGUUCAACCUCAAAAGAAGCAGAGGGGGCUUAGUGGUGGGGUGACUGCGUACCUUUUGUAUAAUGGGUCAGCGACUUAUAUUCUGUAGCAAGGUUAACCGAAUAGGGGAGCCGGAGGGAAACCGAGUCUUAAUUGGGCGUUAAGUUGCAGGGUAUAGACCCGAAACCCGGUGAUCUAGCCAUGGGCAGGUUGAAGGUUGGGUAACACUAACUGGAGGACCGAACCGACUAAUGUUGAAAAAUUAGCGGAUGACCUGUGGCUGGGGGUGAAAGGCCAAUCAAACCGGGAGAUAGCUGGUUCUCCCCGAAAGCUAUUUAGGUAGCGCCUCGUGAAUUCAUCUCCGGGGGUAGAGCACUGUUUCGGCUAGGGGGCCAUCCCGGCUUACCAACCCGAUGCAAACUGCGAAUACCGGAGAAUGUUAUCACGGGAGACACACGGCGGGUGCUAACGUCCGUCGUGAAGAGGGAAACAACCCAGACCGCCAGCUAAGGUCCCAAAGUCAUGGUUAAGUGGGAAACGAUGUGGGAAGGCCCAGACAGCCAGGAUGUUGGCUUAGAAGCAGCCAUCAUUUAAAGAAAGCGUAAUAGCUCACUGGUCGAGUCGGCCUGCGCGGAAGAUGUAACGGGGCUAAACCAUGCACCGAAGCUGCGGCAGCGACACUCAGGUGUUGUUGGGUAGGGGAGCGUUCUGUAAGCCUGUGAAGGUGUCCCGUGAGGCAUGCUGGAGGUAUCAGAAGUGCGAAUGCUGACAUAAGUAACGAUAAAGCGGGUGAAAAGCCCGCUCGCCGGAAGACCAAGGGUUCCUGUCCAACGUUAAUCGGGGCAGGGUGAGUCGACCCCUAAGGCGAGGCCGAAAGGCGUAGUCGAUGGGAAACGGGUUAAUAUUCCCGUACUUGGUGUUACUGCGAAGGGGGGACGGAGAAGGCUAUGUUGGCCGGGCGACGGUUGUCCCGGUUUAAGCGUGUAGGCUGGUUUUCCAGGCAAAUCCGGAAAAUCAAGGCUGAGGCGUGACGACGAGGCACUACGGUGCUGAAGCAACAAAUGCCCUGCUUCCAGGAAAAGCCUCUAAGCAUCAGGUAACAUCAAAUCGUACCCCAAACCGACACAGGUGGUCAGGUAGAGAAUACCAAGGCGCUUGAGAGAACUCGGGUGAAGGAACUAGGCAAAAUGGUGCCGUAACUUCGGGAGAAGGCACGCUGACACGUAGGUGAAGUGAUUUACUCAUGGAGCUGAAGUCAGUCGAAGAUACCAGCUGGCUGCAACUGUUUAUUAAAAACACAGCACUGUGCAAACACGAAAGUGGACGUAUACGGUGUGACGCCUGCCCGGUGCCGGAAGGUUAAUUGAUGGGGUCAGCGCAAGCGAAGCUCCUGAUCGAAGCCCCGGUAAACGGCGGCCGUAACUAUAACGGUCCUAAGGUAGCGAAAUUCCUUGUCGGGUAAGUUCCGACCUGCACGAAUGGCGUAAUGAUGGCCAGGCUGUCUCCACCCGAGACUCAGUGAAAUUGAACUCGCUGUGAAGAUGCAGUGUACCCGCGGCAAGACGGAAAGACCCCGUGAACCUUUACUAUAGCUUGACACUGAACAUUGAGCCUUGAUGUGUAGGAUAGGUGGGAGGCUUUGAAGUGUGGACGCCAGUCUGCAUGGAGCCGACCUUGAAAUACCACCCUUUAAUGUUUGAUGUUCUAACGUGGACCCGUGAUCCGGGUUGCGGACAGUGUCUGGUGGGUAGUUUGACUGGGGCGGUCUCCUCCUAAAGAGUAACGGAGGAGCACGAAGGUUGGCUAAUCCUGGUCGGACAUCAGGAGGUUAGUGCAAUGGCAUAAGCCAGCUUGACUGCGAGCGUGACGGCGCGAGCAGGUGCGAAAGCAGGUCAUAGUGAUCCGGUGGUUCUGAAUGGAAGGGCCAUCGCUCAACGGAUAAAAGGUACUCCGGGGAUAACAGGCUGAUACCGCCCAAGAGUUCAUAUCGACGGCGGUGUUUGGCACCUCGAUGUCGGCUCAUCACAUCCUGGGGCUGAAGUAGGUCCCAAGGGUAUGGCUGUUCGCCAUUUAAAGUGGUACGCGAGCUGGGUUUAGAACGUCGUGAGACAGUUCGGUCCCUAUCUGCCGUGGGCGCUGGAGAACUGAGGGGGGCUGCUCCUAGUACGAGAGGACCGGAGUGGACGCAUCACUGGUGUUCGGGUUGUCAUGCCAAUGGCACUGCCCGGUAGCUAAAUGCGGAAGAGAUAAGUGCUGAAAGCAUCUAAGCACGAAACUUGCCCCGAGAUGAGUUCUCCCUGAGACUUAAAGUCUCCUGAAGGAACGUUGAAGACGACGACGUUGAUAGGCCGGGUGUGUAAGCGCAGCGAUGCGUUGAGCUAACCGGUACUAAUGAACCGUGAGGCUUAACCUU